AGCGAACGCUGGCGGCAGGCCUAACACAUGCAAGUCGAACGAACCUUUCGGGGUUAGUGGCGGACGGGUGAGUAACACGUGGGAACGUGCCUUUAGGUUCGGAAUAACUCAGGGAAACUUGUGCUAAUACCGAAUGUGCCCUUCGGGGGAAAGAUUUAUCGCCUUUAGAGCGGCCCGCGUCUGAUUAGCUAGUUGGUUGAGGUAAUGGCUCACCAAGGCGACGAUCAGUAGCUGGUCUGAGAGGAUGAUCAGCCACAUUGGGACCGAGACCCGGCCCAAACUCCUUCGGGGAGCAGCAGUGGGGAAUCUUGCGCAAUGGGCCAAAGCCUUACGCCGCCCUUGCGCGGUAAUGAUGAAGGUCUUUGGGUUUGAAAAUUCUUUCACCCGGGACGAUAAUGACGGUACCCGGAGAAGAAGCCCCGGCUAACUUCGUG
rnacentral:rRNA from 1 species